AAAUUCCAAGAAUUAUAAUCUCGAUCUUCCAAAUCUUCUUGAAUUCCUCAAACUCUUCUCAGCUUCAAUGACUUUAUGGCUUGAUUCUCAACUAUCAAUUUGGUGUUUCAUUUUUUUUAAAAGUCCUCCUAAAGGUUCAUUUUAUAGGGCUUUGAAGCUAGGCUAAGUUGGAUGAAGAAGAAUUCAAUUCCAAUCAGAAUUUUCUCAUUAGACUACGUGGGCCACGGCUUACCUCUACCAGAGUUGCGGUCUCGACCAUUUAAUUAGCAAAAAUCAUAAUUGCUCUAGAACCGUUGCAAUACUUUAACUUUGACACAAUUUUGGAUAAUCUUUUAGGCUGAACUGGGCAAAGUGGUAAGCAUGAAAGUUGUAUCUUUCUCUUAGCUUUCCAAUGGUCUAAGAAUCAUCUCAUUUGAAAUUUUAUAAAGAGAGUUAUAGUCAAAAUACCGAGACAUGUGUAAUGGAAAUUUGCACCUUAAAAUUGCUUUCCUUCUUCUAUUAAAAUUCUUUCUUCAUUAA
rnacentral:lncRNA from 1 species